rnacentral:rRNA from 1 species
AUUGAACGCUGGCGGCAGGCUUAACCCUUGCAAGUCGAGCGGAGCGGCGGACGGGUGAGGAAUGCUUAGGAAUCUGCCCAUUAGUGGGGGAAAACAUCUCGAAAGGGAUGCUAAUACCGCAUACUAAUAGAUGAGCUUAAGUCGGAUUAGCUAGUUGGUGGGGUAAAGGCCUACCAAGGCGACGAUCUGUAUCGGGUCUGAGAGGCAGAUCCGCCACACUGGGACUGGGACACGUCCCAGAAUCCUACGGGAGGCAGCAGUGUGGAAUAUUGGGCAAUGGGGGGAACCCUGAUCCAGCCAUGCCGCGUGUGUGGAGAAGGCCUUAUGGUUGUAAAGCACUUUAAGCGAGGAGGCGUUACUCGCAGAAUAAGCACCGGCUAACUCUGGGCCAGCAGCCGCGGUAAUAC